rnacentral:lncRNA from 1 species
CAAAUAUAUAAAAAUAUUUUUUUCAGGCUUUGGACAGCAUGCAACACUGGAGUAUCCUACCUGAGAGAAGUAAAACAAUGUAAAUCCUAAAAUAAGACUGAUUUUAUCCUUUGAAGCACUUUUCAGGCCUCAACAUAGAGAGAGGCAAUCUAAGCAGAGAAUGCUAGCCUCACUAAUUUGAGAAAACAAAGAUAAAGUGUUUGAAGGCUAAGAUGAUGUAUGUAGCGCAACACCAGAAGGGAGGGAUAUAUGCUGAGAAAAAGCUCUAGAAAUCUGCCUAAGGGUUACAGUGCCACAUAUAUAUUGAAUGAAAGUUUAUAAUGACAGGCAAGGUGUGACUGGGGACCUGUGAGCUAAAUGGGCCCUACAGCUCAUACAGGGCUGGUGGAUAUUUAAUUUCUAGUGGACCAAGGUGGAAACAUGUAGUUUAAUGCUUGUAACACCUAAUGAUACCAGAGGUUCACACUCUGGUAAGUAGGGCUAACCUACUCAAAGGCAAAGGCUACCCUGGGCCUGCUCUAUUAAAUCUCACAAAUGAGGCUUGAUGCGAUGAAGAUAAUCUACAAGUAGUUUAACACCUUCUUAAAAUGAAUUUCAACACUGUCUACACAGAGAAAACAGAACCAAGAUACUCAUCAAUGUAAUAUUAACAAUGUCCCAUAUCUAAUAAAAAAUUACUAGACAUUCAAAGAAACAGUAAAGUAUGAUCAUUAGUUACAAAAUAAUUAGUUAAUAGAAUAGAUCCCAAAUGGC